AGGACCCACAGCACUCAUUUUUCCCUGCCUGCACAACGCUUCUUUGUCUGCCCACGCACUCCUGGACUGGCUGAACAGAGACCUUCGACUGGAACUCAAGAGCAGAAUGAAAGAUUAUGGUUUGUGGAAGAGUAGUCAAGCUACUUAUGAUGAUUACAGGUACAUAGCAAAGCUGUGCAGGAAGAAAAUUAGAAAAGCCAAAGCACAGCUAGAACUGAGCUCAGACAGUAAGGUGAAGGACAACAAUGAAUAUUUCUAUAAAUACAUCAACAGCAAGAGGAGGGCAAGGGAGAAUCUCCAUCCCUUGUUGGACGCCGAGGGCAACUUGGUGACCAAGGAUCAGGAUAAGGCUGAGGUACUUAAUGCCUUUGUUGCCUCAGUCAUUAAUAGCAAGACUUGUUACUCCCUGGGAAAAAAUCCCCUGUGCUGGUAGAUAAGGAUGGGGAACUGAAUAGGCCCUGCAUUAUCCACAAUGAGAUGAUUUUGGACCUGCACCGAAUGCUGGAUGCUCGAGUUCACGGGGUCAGAUGGACUGCACUUUGGAGUGCUGAGGCAGUUGGUGGAUGUGGUUGCCAAGCCACACUCCAUCGUCCUUCAGCAGUCCUGGCUAAAUGGAAACAUGCAGGUGGACUGGAGACUGGCAAAUAUGAUGCACAUCUUCAGAAACGGCCAGAAGAUGAGCAUGGUAGCUACAGACCUAUCAGUCUUACCUCAGGGCCAGGAUAGGUUAUGGAAAGGAUACUGUUGAGAUUAAUUAAAGGUCAACUAGGGGAUCAGGCCCAGUCAGAAUGGGUUUACGAAUGGUAGAUCCUGCUUGACAAAAUAACUAGCUCCACGACACCGUGGCCACAGGAGACUCCAGGAGCAGGAGAAGAUCCCGUGGAGGGAGGAAGCAGGGGCAGCUGGGCCUGCUGUGCACAUAUACUGACAGACAUACAGAUACCUUGUCACUGCUCUUCUGCCUCCACGUUUCUGGAGUACAGGGAGUUUUGUCUUCACACAGGAACUCCGCCAAGCCUGUAUGUCCAGAGCUGCAUUUUCCAGUCCACGGCACCUUGAUCCCAGGACGUGCUCCGCCACGUGCUUCUAGGACAUGAACAUUUGCACAAAGGCCCCUGAAAGUAAAAGCAUCCCGGCAGGUUUGCACUGCUCCCACACUCCCCAGCGCUCUCUCUAAAAUCUCACACAACACAGACUCUCUCAGACUCUUGACUGCAGCCCAAUAGCACAGGAUCUCCCCUCUCACUUUAUGAGAGAAGAGGCCAUACUUUGUCUUUUUCAGCUUUGCAGAUACCACCAGGCAAGAACUGGCUUUCCCACCCUGCAGCCAGGCAUGCUCCAACCUGAGGGGUGAGUGGCUGUGAGAGGAAGGUCUCUGCGGAAGCGCAGCUCAUUCCUCCCCUCUGACAGGGCCAGAAGGCACGAGACAAAAGAGGAAAGCACAGUGCGUCUGCAUUUCCCUCGUGGCUCUUAUUUCCUGCGUUACGGUGGGAAACGAGCUGAGCCGCUGUGCCUCUCUAUUAUGGUUAGCUCUGCAGCUCUGCCAUCAUCUUUAGACUCAGCUGUUCCUGUGCAUAAUGCUCCACACAAUCACCCUGCAGAGCCCAAAGCCCUUCCUGGCUGCUGUCACUCACCUGGAGGUUGCAGGGUGCUGUGCCUCCUGCCUGUACCUGCUUCUAGGUGUCGCUUGCAAGACAUUGAGAGUCCACCUGGUUGGAACUGCGGUCAACAAACACAAACGUGAAACAAAUCCCCGGGAUGGAGUGCGCUGAUACUGCUGCGUUCUUCCUGCACCAACUGUCCGGGCGGCUCAGCGUGUUCUACAGAACAGCAUGCCUUUGGGAAUGCUUGGAGUAUGUAGCCUGACAGCAAGAGAACACUGCGCUCUUCUGGCUAUUUCUCAACAUGUCAGAGGGACAGGAGUGUGCUCAGCCUUGUGUGGUUGCACGUAUGCAAAAAUCCCUAUCGCAGCUGUAAACAUCUUUGUUGUUCUGCUUUACAGCAGUAGUGUGUGACGAGAAGCCUGCCACUAUCAAUUUAGAGGAGGUAAUUAAUUGUGACAGUUCCCCUUUCUUCUUCCCUUGACGAUGGAGGUGAUGGGGUUCUCCUAUGCUAUGUGCUGGUGUAAUACCUCUGAGCCUCAGUUUUGAUGGGUUCAGCAAAGCUCAUGGCAACAGGCUUUGGUCAACCUCAGAUCUGCUAAUGAGAUAAAUAGAUGAUGAUAAGAGAGACCAAAAGAAAAAAACACGAGGCAAGAGUUGUUUUUUUCUUCUAGUCAGCACGCCAUCGCUAAAUCUUCCAUACUGUGACUUUUAUCUUGAUAGUGAUGAUCCCUUAACCUCACACGUUUAGCACAACGCUUUCUGUUGUGGAGAUUCCCACCAGUGACAAAGCAUUAGUGCCGCUUUUCUGCCUGUCUCUUUUUGUCUGUAUUUUCUGGCGUGUGGGGAUUUCUUUUAGUGGCCCACAAGCACUUCCCAGAUAAGCAAGCAGCACAGGAGGAGGCAGGGGCAAGAGGCAGGAGCAAGGGCAGAGUGGUUUCUUUGUUACUAAAUGGAAUGACUGUAUUUUCUGCAUGUGGAUUUGCCAUAGUGCUUCUUACAAGGCCUAAGGGUGGGAUGAAAUGUGCCCUGAAGCAGGUGUGCUUGCAGGAAGGCACAAGAGAAAUGCAAAUCAUUUACCCCCAAAAUGCAAAUCAUUACCCCAAAGAGGGUAAUCCCAGGAAAAAGAGGGGACAGGAAAAAAUCUUUUCUAUUAACCCCAGACUUGAUGGGAAAGGAAAAGCUGAAGAAGCAGGUGUGUUUGGGGGUGUUCGUCUUCUAGACUGCACCCAGAGAAGGCGAGUGAUUCUGAUGCCGCAGUCUUGGAACUCCAGUCAGUACACAGCUGGGAGGAUUUCUGGGCUGAGAUGAAUUUCUCUCUCUGCAGCUGCUGAUCUAUUGGAUUUUGUGUUCUAGUGCACGGAAGCUUUUGGGCAUGAUUUAUCCUCACUAUUCCUCACACUGGGUGGGAAAAGUUGGCACUGGAUCUCACAUAGCAGCUUGUAACAAAGGUUGGACUUGCCAAUGCCUUCCACUGUCUCCACUCGUCCGGUGCCUCCUUGAAGCGUAUGCCUCAUCAGGAAAUCUUUUCUUAUUUCCUAGCUCUUGCGCAAUAAAGAAGCAUUUCAA
rnacentral:lncRNA from 1 species